CCCUUAGAUGUUCUGGGCCGCACGCGCGCUACACUGACGAAUGCAACGAGCUUAUAACCUUGGCCGAAAGGUCUGGGUAAUCUCCAAAUUUCGUCGUGAUGGGGAUAGAUUAUUGCAAUUAUUAAUCUUCAACGAGGAAUGCCUAGUAAGCGCAAGUCAUCAGCUUGCGUUGAUUACGUCCCUGCCCUUUGUACACACCGCCCGUCGCUACUACCGAUUGAAUGAUUUAGUGAGGACUUCGGACUGGGACCGAUGCGGCUUUCGGGCUGCGUCGGUAUUCUGGAAAGAUGUCCAAACUGUAUCAUUUAGAGGAAGUAAAAGUCGUANCA
rnacentral:rRNA from 1 species